CAAUAGCGUAUAUUUAAGUUGUUGCAGUUAAAAAGCUCGUAGUUGAAUUUCGGAUGGGCUUGACCGGUCCGCCGUUUGGUGUGCACUGGUCGUGCCUAUCUUGCUGCCGGGGACGCGCUCCUGGCCUUAAUUGGCUGGGACGCGGAGUCGGCGAUGUUACUUUGAAAAAAUUAGAGUGUUCAAAGCAGGCCUAAGCUCUGAAUACAUUAGCAUGGAAUAACGCUAUAGGACUCUGGUCUUAUUGCGUUGGUCUUCGAGACCGGAGUAAUGAUUAAGAGGGACAGUUGGGGGCAUUCGUAUUUCAUUGUCAGAGGUGAAAUUCUUGGAUUUAUGAAAGACGAACUUCUGCAAAANCANNNGCCAAGGAUGUUUUCAUNAA
rnacentral:rRNA from 1 species